GUUUAUUGCUGAGCUGUUCCUACUCUUCUGUCCAUUGGUUGUAUGAAUGAGAGCGAAGGAGGGCUCUUGAAUCUGAGGCUGGCUGCAUACGUAGAUGGUAAACGAUGCUCGAGAUUCAGUUUAACCUGCGAACGGUGCAAAACAAGCGGCUUCUGUUCUACUGGUAAGAUCAAUUGCAUCACAGUCCCAAGAUACAUGGUUGUGGAACAGUACUUUGCAAUGGUCCAGAAAUCACAUUUUUUGAAGGAUUUUUUUCUUCUUCCCAGUAGUCGUUUUUAGACCGAACGUUUUAUGUCCUGUUGUAUUGUGUUUGAAAAUAAUGCAUAUUAUCAAUAAUGAGUGAUUCGCGCA